UAAGGAAUAUUGGUCAAUGGAGGCAACUCUGAACCAGCCAUGCCGCGUGCAGGAAGAAGGCCCUAUGGGUCGUAAACUGCUUUUGAACAAGAGAAAACCCCGGUACGUGUACUGGGUUGAUAGUAUUGUUAGAAUAAGCAUCGGCUAACUUCGUGCCAGCAGCCGCGGUAAGACGAAGGAUGCAAGCGUUAUCCGGAUUCAUUGGGUUUAAAGGGUGCGUAGGCGGACUGAUAAGUCAGUGGUGAAAUCUCUCGGCUUAACCGAGAAACUGCCAUUGAUACUGUUAGUCUAGAGUACAGAUGAUGUGGGCGGAAUAUGACAUGUAGUGGUGAAAUACUUAGAUAUGUCAUAGAACACCGAUUUGCGAAGGCAGCUCACAAAACUGUAACUGACGCUGAGGCACGAAAGUGCGGGGAUCAAACAGGAUUAGAUACCCACGUAGUCCCUGAGCGGGCUGGCAAGGCGCAU
rnacentral:rRNA from 1 species